UACUUAUCAGGUAUAUCUUGGAAGCUUAGAGGCAAUCCAACAAUCAAACUUGCUUCAUGUGGAAGGAACUCUUGAGAUAUCAACUCCCUCCUCUAGAAUGUGUCUCGUGAUCUAUAAGAUCACAGACCUAUGAGUCUGUGUGAAGCAUCGAGAUUGGAGAUACUAUCUUCGAUGCAGAAAUUUUUGGCAACCAUUUGUUACCUCUGAUCUUAAUGGAUUCACCAUUUCCCACUCUCCAAAUAGUGCCCAACUCUAUGACAUGUCUAGCCUACAGCAAACUCUUCCAAGCAUAAGAUCCUUUAUUUGGGUAAUCACAAUCCAUGAUAGAGCAGGAAGGGGAAAUUUUAGCUUUUAAAACUCUAUAAAAAAGAGAAUUAUUAUGGGUUUUAAGCCUCCAAACCUAUUUUGCUAGUAGAGAGUCAUUAAACAUGCUUAAUUCCCUAAACCCCAUUCCGCCAUCGCAUUUUGGGAGGCAUAUUUUUCCCAGCUCAUCCAAUGGGUUUUCUUUUGUUCUCCUAUAUAUCCCCACCAAAACUUCCUUAUCAAAACCUCUAUUUCCUUUAUCAACCCUUUCGAGAGCUUGAAACAAGACAUGGUGUAUGUUGGGAUUGCCUGAACAACUGCCUCAAUGAGGAUUUCAUGCCCCACCUACAACAAUAAUUUCUCCUUCCAACCCUUGAGCUUCUUCCAAAUUCUUUCUUUUAUUAUGCUAAAAGAUUUCUUCUUUGCUCAACCAAUCAAUGACGGGAGACCCAAGUAUUGUUCAAAUCUUUGGACUGAUGGGACACCCAAGAAAUUUUUGAUAGCUUCCUGUGUUUGAGGCAAAAUAUUAGUGUAACACCCCAACCUAAUUUCAUAAUUAAUUUUAUGGGUUUAUAUGCAUGUCAUUAUCUUAAUUACUUUUAAGUGCAUGAAACUUUGAUAUUGUGAUAUUAUAGAACAUAUAUGCUCUUUUAAGGUGAUGGAUAUAACUUUAUAAAGGUAAGGAUAUAUAUAUAUAUAUAUAUAUUAUUUUUUGUAGAAAAGUGAGUGUGAACUCAAGAAAGUUGAAAAAGUGGGGAAAAAGGGGGUGUGAUUUUUCUUCCCUAGUCUUCCACGUAUCCCACCCCAAUUGUCCGCAUCUCUUAUCUUCUUUGGCUGCCCCAAAAGUCUUCUCCUUAUCCUAUUUUCUUGGUUGCAUCAGACCAAAAAGUCCAGCCCUCUUUCCCUACUCCUUUUUCUUUGUUUUUGUUUUCUUCUCUCUUUGCUCUUACACGGCAGCCUUCUCUCUCUCACCAAAACAAAAUAUCCCUCUCUAAAGAAGAAAUUAAAGGGUUAACACUAAAAUUUCAGUUUCAAAUUGUUGGGGGUGGUGAGAACGAGAACACAGACACUUGAGCUCCUCUUGUAUAAUCUCUCGCGCCUUCUGUUUUCAGUGCACAGGUUCUUCCUGGAAGCAGCAAGAGUAUUAGAGGUGACAAGGAUUUUGUGUUUUCUCGUUUGUUAGAAUGUAGAGUUUUGUUGUAUAGCAGUUAGCUGUUUUGUUGUAUAGAAGGAAUCAAGAUGUACUUGAUCCUUUGAGCACAGAUAUAAUUCGAUACCUUAGCUUGUUGUGAACCCCAAUUGUAUGUCUUUGGGGUUAGGUUUGUAAUAAGAGUUUUGCUAAACGUUUAGCUAUGUAAUAUUUACACGAAUACCUUAAGUUUCAGCUAGGUGGUAUUUUUCCAAGUUUGAAGGAAAUGAAAUUUCAAGGUUUCCAUCA